rnacentral:rRNA from 1 species
ACCGCGAMCCCCAGUCAAGCGGGAAUACCCGCUGAAUUU